rnacentral:tRNA from 1 species
GCCUAGGUGGUGGAAUUGGUAGACACGCCAGAUUUAGGAUCUGGUAUCGCGAGGUGUGGGGGUUCGAGUCCCCCCCUGGGCACCA